GUCUUUUUGAUAUAAAAUUUAAAGUCGAAUCUGCCCACUGAUUUAUAAUUAAAGGGCUGCAGUAUAUUGACUGUACAAAGGUAGCAUAAUAAUUAGUCUUUUAAUUGAAGACUUGUAUGAAAGAUUUGAUGAGAUAUAAACUGUCUCUUUUUUAUAAUUAGAAUUUAAUUUUUUAGUAAAAAAGCUAAAAUUUAUUUAAAAGACGAGAAGACCCUAUAGAGUUUUAUAAUUAAUUUAAUUAUAGAUUUAUAUUUAAAUUUAAAGUUAAUUAAAUUAAUUAUUUUAUUGGGGUGAUAGAAAAAUUAAAUUAACUUUUUUUAAAAAAUUAACAUUAAUUAAUGAUUUUAUGAUCCAUAAUUUAUGAUUAAAAGAAAAAAUUACCUUAGGGAUAACAGCGUAAUUUUUUUUUUUAGUUCUUAUAAGAAAAAAAGUUUGCGACCUCGAUGUUGGAUUAAGAUAAAAUUUAAAUGCAGAAGUUUAAAAUUUUGAUCUGUUCGAUCAUUAAAAUCUUACA
rnacentral:rRNA from 1 species